rnacentral:rRNA from 1 species
UACGUAGGGGGCAAGCGUUGUCCGGAAUUAUUGGGCGUAAAGAGCUCGUAGGCGGUGUGUCACGUCGGCCGUGAAAACCUGGGGCUUAACUCUGGGCGUGCGGUCGAUACGGGCAUCACUAGAGUUCGGCAGGGGAGACUGGAAUUCCUGGUGUAGCGGUGAAAUGCGCAGAUAUCGGGAGGAACACCCGUAGCGAAGGCGGCACUCUGGGCCGGUACUGACGCUGAGGAGCGAAAGCGUGGGAGCAACAGG